CUCCGCCGCCGCUGGAGCCCAACAUGGCGAUGCACAACAAGACGGCGCCGCCGCAGAUCCCAGACACCCGGCGGGAGCUGGCCGAGCUGGUGAAGCGGAAGCAGGAGCUGGCGGAAACACUUGCAAACUUGGAGCGACAGAUCUAUGCUUUUGAAGGAAGCUACCUGGAAGACACUCAGAUGUAUGGCAAUAUUAUCCGUGGCUGGGAUCGGUAUCUGACCAAUCAAAAAAACUCCAAUAGCAAAAACGAUCGGAGGAACCGGAAGUUCAAGGAGGCCGAACGGCUCUUCAGCAAAUCUUCAGUCACAUCGGCAGCUGCAGUAAGUGCCUUGGCGGGAGUUCAGGACCAGCUCAUCGAAAAGAGGGAACCAGGAAGUGGGACAGAAAGCGAUACUUCUCCAGACUUCCACAAUCAGGAGAACGAGCCUGCCCAGGAGGACCCUGAGGACCUGGACGGUUCCGUACAGGGAGUGAAGCCCCAGAAGGCUGCUUCUUCUACUUCCUCAGGGAGUCACCACAGCAGCCACAAAAAACGGAAGAAUAAAAACCGGCACAGCCCGUCUGGCAUGUUUGAUUAUGACUUUGAGUAUGUAUAUUAGGUUAGGCUGGGAAGUUUUUUUUAAAAACAGAAAAACGUGAUGGAGGAUUGAUCUGAAGUUAAACAAAAAGCCCCGAGCUGACUAUUAGAAGACUUGUUAGCAGCAGCUUCCAGCUGUGGAGCCCUGCUUCCCCUCUGACCUCACAGCGACAAAUGUCCCUCACCUGACUGUGGCCAUCCGCCUCUGCUUUCCCAGACCCAGUGCCUGUAACUGGCUAGUCGGUCUUAACUGUAGUGACGAGUCCUUUCUAUAAGACUGGGUCAUUUGCCAUCGUCACCGGUAGUAGCAGUUCAGCGGGAAGAUCUCUUCUUGGUCCCAGUUCCAGCGGGUGGCUAACUGUGCAUUUCUCCCUUCUUAGAAUGAAUGUCUCCCCCCAAACUGGCUGGCACCAGCUCCAUCUGUGACCCCCCCCAAUCGAGAAGUGCACAUCUCUGAUUUUGUGUUCCGCUGAAAGUAGAGCCCGGGUCCCACUGCAGAUGGAGGCUGUAAAUAUCUGCCACUCUUUCGUUUGGUUUUGUGUUGUAUUAUUUUUUUAUUGUUGUUUUUAUCAUCUGAUUUUCUUUUGGGACAUUUUGUGAUGCCUGUACUUUCCUGAUGACACAUCCAAUGGUCUGUUUCAUGUGGUGUCAAUAUUCAUAACUGAAACUAAAGUGGCUUUCAGAAGUAAAUGGGCAGUUUGGCUCUUUGACUUUUUGACUUCUGUAGGGGGAAGGUAGAGAGCGUUUAAUGGUGGCGUGUUGGAAGCAGUCUCAUGUCCGAGGAACAAGAAAGCCGGAAAACGCCAUCCUCCUAGAACAGACACUUGGAUUCCUUUGUAGAAAUAAAAUUUCCUUGCCUUCCAUCUCUCAUGCUUUCCUUCUCAGCCGGAGAUUUUCUUUUCCAUCUUUUCGCACACUUUCUCUCCCUUCUUCCCUUCUCUCCCCUCUCCCUUCUCCCUCUGUCUCUCUCUGUCUCUCUCUGUCUCUCUCUGUCUCUCUCUGUCUCUGUCUCUGUCUCUCUCUCUCUCUCUCGACAGUGUUUCUUCUCUCUGUGUAGCUCUGGCUGUUCUGGAACUCACUCUGUAGACCAGGCUGGCCUCAAACUCACAGAGAUCCUCCGGCCUCUGCCUCCUGAGUUCUGGGAUUAAAGUCAUGCAUCACCACCACCCGGCUUCCAUCUUUUCUCCUUUUGCUGACAUUCACUUGGUUAGAUAUUAUUCUAAAAAUCACCAAGCCCAUGGGAGAGCCCAGAAUUACUGAAAAGUCAGCUUCCACUGAGUGGAGUCAGAGCCUCACAAGAGCCAGCACUGCCCACAGAGAGCCCGGCCUGCAGAGUCCCUGACGGCUUUGGCUGUCUUCAGUGCAGUGGCCUUGGCUGCAUGCACAUUGUGGUCACCUGGGAAGCUCAGCCCAAUGCCAGUGCUGAGAUCCCAUUCCCAAAGGGAUUCUUUCACAGAGUCCAGGCUGCUGACUAGGAGCCUGCUUGAGGCCAUUGUGUUAGAAACUGAGCCAUACAGCCUGGGUCGGGCGAGUGGUGAGAUUCAGGGCCUUGCCUGUCCUUUGACUGUCUAGUCACAGUCCUUUCUGAUGCCUGGGCCUUGUAGGGGGCUGAGCCUAGAUGGCCUAUUACCAGAACCACCCUCUGGUGUGCAAAGGCUUUGCCUUUUGUUCUUGUUUGGUUUUUUUUUUGUCUUUAUUUAUUAUUAUUAUUAUUAUUAUUAUUUUUUUUUUUUUUUUUUUUUGAGACAGGGUUUCUCUGUGUAACAGUUCUGGCUGUCCUGGAACUUCCUUUGUAGACCAGGCUGGCCUCUAACUCACUGAGGUCUGCCUGCCUCUGCCUUGCCCGUGCUGGGAUGAAGGUGUGCGCCCAACCACUGCCCAGCUCCUUUUGUUGUUAAAAUCCAUUUCCUUCGAUGAUUUUCCAGUCAUUGGCCAUGUAUUUGGAAGCAGAACUCCAGUUCUAAAGGAAGUAGUUUAAAAUACGGAGAUUGUUCCUUGAAAACGAAAACCCAGAAGCGUUUUGGAUCCUUCCUUCUUGGUUUAUCGCCUUAUCCUAAACUCUGGGGAAAGCAAAUGGUCAACGUGAACACAUCUGAGCCUCCAUAGCUGGCUGUGUGUAGAGAAGUAGCGGUGCUGCUCAGUAGAAGGUGUAGUAUUUAUUUCUUGCAUCGUAGAGAGUUGGGUAAAAGACAUCAACCGUGCUAGGCACGUGAUCUACUACUGAGUACCCUCCCAGGCCCUAAGCGUGUGUCAUGUAGCAGCAUGUCUGUGUAUGUGACUGUCCCCGUGUGUAUGCAGAAGAUUGUGGCUUGUGAGCUGUUUGUUUUAUUGCCUCCCCCACCCCGUAAGGUUUACCCAUUGGUUGGGUCUUCCGGUUUUUCUGUCAGCUGGCCAGUGUUACUUAGGCUCCGAGAGACUACUUGCUUUUCCCGUCUUGGGGUGGCUUAGAAAAAGGCAUCUGGAGCGAUUGGCAUGCAGAGUCCUGGGAAUUGAUCCUCAGCACCGUGUAAGUGUGGGCAUGGUGGUGCCUGCCUGUAGUCCUAGCUCGCAGGAGGAUCGGAAGUCAAGGGAGUUAGAGGUCAGCCUGAGCUAAAAGAAACCUUACUUUAAAAAAAAAAAAAGGACCAACUCCAAUAGGUUCCUGCCUCUCUGCACCAUGCUGUGGUCCUGACUUUAUCCACCAAGUUUGCUUACAAAUCAUCGAUGGAAAGAAUGGCUGUGCUUACACAAGAGAACAUUAAUCUCAGUGGACAGGGUAGUCUUUCAUUGCAACCAGCCAGCCAGCAGUCCCUGAAGUGACAACCAGGGCCCUGUGUGUUGUGAGAGGGACUGGUUUAAUGGAGUAAGCCAGCUCCUAAGUCCUACAGCCCGGGCUGUAGCUAGCCGUCCUGUGUUGGGGGAGUGGGUGAGAAGCACCAGCUGGCUCCAGCGAUGCACCUGUCCUUUAGAAGGACAAACGACAGGAAUGGAGGGUGGCACACUUGUUUCUGCCACCAGGUACCCUUGCUCUGUGCGUCUCUCCAACACGGGAAGAAGAGCUUGCCCUUGGCCUCUGGUAGUUAAAAGACAAGACCUGGCCUUUUGUGGUAACAUUAUUGUCAGCUACUUGGAGGAUAGUCUAGCGCAAAGCUUCAUGGGAGUGCCAAGCCCACAGCUCCAAGGACUGAGGAAGGGGCCAUUCUGUUUAAAGUCAGUGUCCUGGGGUACAUGAGGAGAAUGUGGGGAACAAGACCAACCCACAGAGUUGGGGCCUGAGGAGGGACUUUAGGAAGCUUGGGACAAGGCCAGUGUGGACCAGGAACAAUGCUUUUAAACCCACUGUGCUGAUCCAGAGACCCCAGGUCUCAGCAGCCUUGGCACUGUAAGAAAUGGCUCUGUCGUUGCACGGCUUAAACCGUUAAACCCCCACUUGAGUCUGUGCCGUUCACUCUCAGGAAAAUCCUUUGUUCCAACAGUAGGAAGCAAGCAGUGGGGCCUUCACCUCGAGGCUUUUGAUCCUGCGUGCAGGAAGUAGAGAGCGAUGCUCCUGUCUCCACCCUCGCAGUAAAAACAAAGCUCUGAAGAGCCUUCGUCAUAAGUAGUCGGCGUGUGUUUCUAAAGUGCUCUCUGGCUUAAUUUUUGCACUUACUUUGGUCUUUCCCACCCUCAGCUUUAUUCCAAGUCACUGAGGCGUUUGCACACUGGAAAAUUCUUUUCAGAAGCUCUGACUUGAUGGAAGUGGUGGAUGAUAUUCUGUAUGCACAACUUCCUUCCAGCAUGGGGCUGUGUAUAGUGCCUAGGAAGACUGUGUGUGUGUGUGUGUGUGUGUGUGUGUGUGUGUGAGAGAGAGAGAGAGAGAGAGAGAGAGAGAGAGAGAGAGAGAGAACGCGAGCGCAUGUCAGUCUAUCCCUGUGUUCCCAGGUUUUGGUCUUCAGGGCUAGCCUCAGGAUUUGAAGCACAGGUUUCAUUUUGAACACUGCUCUGUGGGGUCAGCCAUGCCGUGGGUCGUUACGGGUGCUGGCCCUUGCUUAUGUGUCCACGGGAAAGGGAGUGGGUGUGGGAG